CCUACGUGUGUCAUCAUUUCUUCCUCUUUCUCCCUUUUCUCUCGCCUGCCCCCGCCACGUAGCGUGAAGGAUGACUUCCCUACGGGUUUUCAACUUCUUUUAUAAAGGAAUAAAGUGAGGCACGUGUGCCUUUUUGUAUGUAUUUUAUGAAUAAGGCUCGGCUAACUCCGUGCCAGCAGCCGGGGUAAUACGGAGUAUCCGAGCGUUAUCCGGAUUUAUUGGGUGUAAAGGGAGCGUAGAUGGGUUGUUAAGUCAGUUGUGAAAGUUUGCGGCUCAACCGUAAAAUUGCAAUUGAUACUGGAAGGCUUGAGUACAGUUGAGGUAGGCGGAAUUCGUGGUGUAGCGGUGAAAUGCUUAGAUAUCACGAAGAACUCCAAUGGCGAAGGCAGCUUACUAAACUGCAACUGACAUUGAUGCUCGAAAGUGUGGGUAUCAAACAGGAUUAGAUACCCCGGUAGUC
rnacentral:rRNA from 1 species